GCUGUGGACAAAUUUAGCUGUUCAGUAAGGUUUCUAAAAAAUCUCGAGCCCCUAAAUAGAUUAAAUUAACACUAAUGUCGGCACAGAAAAAACAAAAACAAAAAUUGGUUGACUCUAAAAGCAAUAAUGACAGACGGAAAACAGGCCCACUGACGGCUGACAGGACACACAUCAUACAUGCUAAACUACACACCACAGACAGGUCGGAGUUCUGAUUUAUAACCAUCACAAACACACUGAUGUAAAACCUCAGGGCUGAGAGACGAUGACAGCACUUCACAGGCCAUUUCACAAUUUUCCAGCUAACCAGCCCGACCGACAGCCAUUACCUUCCUCACUCGGUUAGCCAAACUGUAGUCAGCUACGCACUACUUUAAACCUAUGUAAUAAUGCGUUAACCAAAGGCUGUGUGAGACAAAUAAACGUGAUAGUGAGGUGUUACUCUGGCCGCAUUUUAUGGAUAAAUUAAGCUCAGUCUGCACCGUACAGCGAGAAAAGACGCAGGAAGGAAAUGUAUCACUCCACUUACCCUGAAACACUGCUGUCAAGCUACGAAAAUAGGCCUUCCGCCGCCCAAUUAGGAGCUGACUCGACUUUAUUUACCAAGACUUAAACAUUAACCACAAAUCCCCGUCUCUGUUUACAUCAACCCGCCGUAUUUUAGUCAAUUUAACCUAGAAGUGAACUAUACUGUCCACCAGGCGACACAGCGUACCCGCUGUACGGUCGACGUCAGUGACACGAGCCUGUGACUGAUAGACUCCUCGGCCAAUAGAAAAGCAAUAUGCGAGCGUUUUGUCCAAUCAGAACGUGACGUUGCCCGGGUGGGCGGGUGUGCAGGAGAGGACAUGACGGAGGUGACGGCCAUGUUCUGCAAGUGUUUGUAUCCCUCCGCCUCAGUAUUUACCUUUUGCUGGUUUUGCAUGUGUCCUGAAGCUGGAAUUGACAGUUCCUGUUCUGUGGUUCAUGGCUCAACUGGUGUCUUGAUGUUGGAGCUGGCAGUUCCUGAUCAAUGGUUCAUGGCUCAACUUGUCUGGGACACUAGGAUGGUCUAUCUCUCUAUCCUAUUCUGUUCUUCCUUCUGUUCACUAACCCCAACCAGUCGAGACAGAUGGCUGCCAACUCUGAACCUGGUUCUGCUGGAGAUUUCUUCCUGUUGAAAGAAAAACUGUUAGAAGGGAGUUUUUUCUUCCCACUGUCGCUUAUGCUUGUUCAUGUGGAUUUGUUGGCUUUUUUCCUUUUUAUUAUAAAUUUUAUAUUUUGAAAGAGCUUUGAGAUGACUUUUGUUGUAAUUGGCACUACAUAAUAAAAUUCAAUUCAAUUUAAUUUAAUUCCA
rnacentral:lncRNA from 1 species